GGGGAUGUACCUCAGUGGUAGAGCGUGUGCUUCGCAUGUACAAGGUCUUGGGAUCAAUCCCCAGCUUCUCCA